UAAGAGAGAAUUAUUUAUUAGAAGAUAGGAGGUUGUUACGUACAGAUUCUGUCCUGCAAAAGUGUCCUGGUCAAGGAAAUGUCAGGGAGACAUCUAAAGCCAGCGAGCUGGCCCUGCUCUCCAGGCAGAGAUACUCAGACACAGCAGAGCCCUGGCAGGCCUGGCUGCAGGCUGGGCUCAGCUGGGACAGCCGGGUACCACAGCAUCCCUGCCUCGUGUCACCUCCUGCAUCCCACGGGAAAGGUGCUGGGACAGCAGCAGGGACACUGCUCCUCCCUGGGCUCACCUGGGAUGAUUCCCCAGGCAGGGAAUGGCUUCCAUCAGCCAGCCAGGAACGUGGCUGAGCAAGAGGCUGAGACACAACCAUGCUGUGAGGUAGCAUGAGGUAAAUCAAAGAAAAAGGAAAAGGACAAGCAAAGGUCUCUGAGAUUCAGAGAAGAUCUCUCUCGCUCACCCCGAAGGAGGCCAAGCAGCGUGGCUGAGCCCAUGGAGCCCAUGGAGCCCAUGGAGAAGCAGCACUUGUGCCUCCAGAGCCGUGUUCCCGGAGCCCAGCACUGCCCGGCUCCCUCCGGGCUGGCAGGCCCUGCCCAGCCCUGCCUGGUUCCCUCCAGCCUGGCACUCCCUGCCCAGCCCUGUCCAGCCCUCCCCAGCUCUGUCAUCCCCGGGGCUCUGCCGGGCACUGUGUGUCCAGCUCUGUUCAGCUCCCUCCAGCCUGGCACUCUCUGUCCAGCCCUGCCCAGCCCUGUCCAGCCCUGCCCAGCCCUGUCCAGCCCUGUCCAGCCCUGUCCAGCCCUGUCCAGCCCUGCCCAGCCCUGUCCAGCCCUCCCCAGCCCUGCCAUCCCCGGGGCUCUGCCGGGCACUGCUCGAGUGCCGAGGCUGCUGCCAGGGCUGGCACCUCCCGAGCAGCCCCAGAGCCGUGGGCAGCUCUGCUGGAGGGAGGCACAGCAGAAGGGAAGGAAAGGCAUCCCCAGGCCCUGGCAAUGCCAGCAGGACCCAGACCCUGCCCGUGGGUGCUCAGGGGCUCACGGCACCUCCGGGCUCGGAUCCACGGCAGCCCCUGGGCUCUUCCUCACUCCAGCAUCUUCCUCCUCCACUGCACCUGUGCCAGAGCAGCCUCCCCGUGCCUCUGACUCCUGACACACAAGCAUCCAAAUGCACAUCUUCCCAGCACCUAGCAGCUUUCUUAAAGGAAGGGAUUAUCCAGAGGAAAAUAUGUGUAACUUUCUAAUUUAUGGGUGCUGAAAUAAUUAUUCUGGAGUCUGAUUUCUCCGUCUGGUCCUCUGAUGAAGCCACAUUCUUGUCUUUGCUGGCUGGGGCAGAAUAUUACCUUCACUCACUGUCUGUAAAUCCCAUCUCACUCUAACUUUCCUUAUUAAAUCCUCAUUAUGGUUCCAGACUACUGAAAAACCCUGGGUAUGAUCCCCCACUUUGCUCCUAGAGUACACAACCUUUUGUCUGCUAUCAGCACUCCAGCAGGAUUAUUGCCCUUUCACUCCUCAGUGAUCUGAAGGAUUGUUAAACCACGUUGGACCAAAAAUAUUGUUGGACCAGGUUUGUCAGAAAUGUAACAUAAUUGUCAGAAACAUCUGCUUCUGGCUCAGCUAUCACAGCUCUCUCCUCAUCUCCAUCCAAGAGUAGCCUUUGUUAGCCUGGAAUUCCAGAAAGCUUUGGGACAAGAGAUCUGGCAAUGGAUGUUCACAGCUGACACCAACAGCAGCACAAAAGAUGGGUCAGAGCUCAGAAGGGGAAUUUGUGAGACAACAAUUCCCCCUCCCUGCAGAGGAGCUCCAGGGCUGGAGCUCCUGGGGAUGGAGAGUAACAGCAAUACUGGAGCCACAAAGCAAAGCAGCAGAGCUCCAGUUAUCUCCAGGGUAGUAAACACUCAGCACUGAGCUAGCUUUGCUACAAAUAUGCCUAUUUUAAAUCAGGCUUCAUGUUCCUAAGGCACUCAGACUCCUUUUUUGGAACAUGGACCUGAAUGCAUUUGAUGUUUGGGGAUGGGAGGGGUAAGAAAAAUGUUCCCCAAGGACACCCACAUUUAGUUGAAGGGAAGAGAUGAUCCAGAUCCACUGAAUUAUCAAAACCUCUGGAGCAAUCAUGAUCACAACCUUCAGUUUUUUAAGGAUUUCAGCAGCACUGGAUGUGUCUCACUUUCUUCACCCUCUGGAAAGGGGCAAGCUGGGGAAGCUGGGCCCUCUGAGAGCAGGCCAGAGCUCUUCACUUGCUAUUUGCUAGGAAACAACAAAUCUGGAGGUUUGAUCUGCCCUUAAAGCUGGUUUAAUUCCAGCUCAGUCAGGUGGGAGGAACACAGAGCAGACAACAGAAUAGCUCAUUUGGAUUUCAGCCUAACGUUUUUGUUCCAUUAUUGUCUUCCAGGACCGGUUCUUUGGCCACCCAGGAUGAAAACGUGUCCCUGCCAAGAGCUCUCGGAACACCUUGAGGAGUGAAGCUCACCUGUCAGAGCUGCCUGGAUGCUGCAGAUGGGGAAAGUUUUCCUGGAUGUUUGCAGAGAGGAAAGGCAGGAGAGAGGGAUGUUUUCCCUCCAGAGCAAAGGUACAGGAGUGUUUUUCCUGGAGGCCAGAGGAAGGCCAGCAGUGCUGAGCAUCCCCCAGGGGCUGCCAGCAGAGCUCCUGUGCCACGCUCGGGGCAGAGAGGAGCAGCCCAG